rnacentral:rRNA from 1 species
AUGAACGCUGGCGGCGUGCCUAAUACAUGCAAGUCGCGCGAACGGACGAGAAGCUUGCUUCUCUGAUGUUAGCGGCGGACGGGUGAGUAACACGUGGAUAACCUACCUAUAAGACUGGGAUAACUUCGGGAAACCGGAGCUAAUACCGGAUGAUAUUUUGAACCGCAUGGUUCAAAAGUGAAAGACGGUCUUGCUGUCACUUAUAGAUGGAUCCGCGCUGCAUUAGCUAGUUGGUAAGGUAACGGCUUACCAAGGCAACGAUGCAUAGCCGACCUGAGAGGGUGAUCGGCCACACUGGAACUGAGACACGGUCCAGACUCCUACGGGAGGCAGCAGUAGGGAAUCUUCCGCAAUGGGCGAAGGCCUGACGGAGCAACGCCGCGUGAGUGAUGAAGGUCUUCGGAUCGUAAAACUCUGUUAUUAGGGAAGAACAUAUGUGUAAGUAACUGUGCACAUCUUGACGGUACCUAAUCAGAAAGCCACGGCUAACUACGUG